rnacentral:lncRNA from 1 species
AUCUACUACACACAAUACUCCAUAAUAUAAAAAGGGGAAUUCUGUUUUUAGAGAUCUUUACAAGUUAAUUUAAAAAAAAAAUGAUAUGUCUUGAGUCAAUAAGUAGAUAAGUAUUUUCAGUGGCUUGCGACGGCUCACUCGUAAAUUUUAAGUGAAUCCAAACCUUACCUUUGUUUCCUCAGAGACUUCCUCUAGCUGACGGCUUCCGACGUCAAACUUCAAUCCCACCGUGUAGGCGGAAAUACCCAUCUGUGUCCUUGUUUCUACAUGUUUUCCAAGAAAAGCCUUUAUUGGAGGAUGCUUUUCUUGAUGGAAAGAAGGUAAACAGUUUGUAAUUUCCUUAAUUUGUGCUGGUAAAUCAAUCCAUAACUUGAUGGAUUUGAAACUUUUUUGUCAAGGCUCAUUUCAAGGUACUAU